GAGCCCCAAUGAUCUUCUCUGCUGUUCUCACCUUUCCUCACUUUCUUCAAGUCUGGAUUUAAUCCCAGGUGUUUCAGUUUGCCCAUCAGAUGCUGUGGGAUGAUGGUGUUGAAAGCUGAACUGAAAUCUAGAAACAGCAUCCGCACAUGGGUUUUCUUCUCCUCCAGGUGUGCCAGGCUCAGGUGGAGAGCAGCAGAGAUGGCGUCCUCAGUGUCGAUGGCGUUGGUUUUGCGAACUGGAACGGGUAAAAUGUUGGUGGCAAACUGGAGACAAUGUGUUUUUAACCAGCCUUUCGAAGCACUUCAUCAUGAUUCGAGUCAGUGCAACAGCGCAGUAAUCAUUGAGAAGACUUCCUGUUACUGGAUGAGCCUGGACCUUCUUCCCCUGGAAGGAUUAACUGAGUCUCACUGAGCAAGGGGAAAAGCUCCACAUGAUCCAUUCAAGUCCAGUCCUGGAAAACCAAGUGAAAGUCCACUCCUUUACUCCUCUCGAUCCAACGUAUGUCUGCCUGUCCGCUCUCCAAUGAGUUCUCUCUUCUCUGGAUUAAACCCCCAGAAACUGGAUCCAAGGAUAAACCAGGGGCCCCCCAAAAGUGAGUGGCUCUCCAGCAAUAUUCAAGCCUCAGUCUAUUUUCCAUCGGUGUUUGCUAAUCUACAAUAAACCUGUUAAAAUUUUA